CUACCAGACUCCUACGGGAGGCAGCAGUGAGGAAUAUUGAUCAAUGGCCGUAAGGCUGAACCAGCCAAGUAGCGUGAGGGAAGACUGCCCUAUGGGUUGUAAACCUCUUUUAUGCGGGGAUAAAGGUGUCCACGUGUGGAUGUUUGCAGGUACCGCAUGAAUAAGGACCGGCUAAUUCCGUGCCAGCAGCCGCGGUAAUACGGAAGGUCCGGGCGUUAUCCGGAUUUAUUGGGUUUAAAGGGAGCGUAGGCCGGUCUUUAAGCGUGCCGUGAAAUUUUGUGGCUCAACCAUGAGAGUGCGGCGCGAACUGGAGACCUUGAGUGCGCGGAAGGCAGGCGGAAUUCGUGGUGUAGCGGUGAAAUGCUUAGAUAUCACGAAGAACCCCGAUUGCGAAGGCAGCUUGCUAGGCCGGAUCUGACACUGAUGCACGAAAGCGUGGGGAUCGAACAGGAUUAGAUACCCCAGUAAUU
rnacentral:rRNA from 1 species